AGAGUUUGAUCCUGGCUCAGAAUGAACGCUGGCGGCGUGCUUAACACAUGCAAGUCGCACGAGAACGCUUCAGCUUGCUGAAGUUAGUAAAGUGGCGCACGGGUGAGUAACGCGUGGGUAAUCUUCCCCCGAAUUGGGGAUAACAUUGCGAAAGCGAUGCUAAUACCGAAUAAUAUUUUUAUUGCUUAGGCAUUAAAGAUCAAAGGUGGCCUCUACAUGUAAGCUACUGUUUGGGGAUGAGCCCGCGUACCAUUAGCUUGUUGGUAGGGUAACGGCCUACCAAGGCCGCGAUGGUUAGCUGGUCUGAGAGGAUGAUCAGCCACACUGGAACUGACACACGGUCCAGACUCCUACGGGAGGCAGCAGUGAGGAAUUUUGCGCAAUGGGGGAAACCCUGACGCAGCAACGCCGCGUGAGUGAUGAAGGCUUUAGGGUCGUAAAGCUCUGUCAAGUGGGAAGAAACCAUUUGGUGUUAAUACCACCAUGUGCUGACGGUACCACUGAAGGAAGCACCGGCUAACUCCGUGCCAGCAGCCGCGGUAAUACGGGGGGUGCAAGCGUUAUUCGGAAUUACUGGGCGUAAAGAGCGCGUAGGCGGUCUUUUAAGUCAGGUGUGAAAGCCCGGGGCUCAACCCCGGAAGUGCACUUGAAACUGAAAGACUUGAGUAUGGGAGAGGGAAGUGGAAUUCCUGGUGUAGCGGUGAAAUGCGUAGAUAUCAGGAGGAACAUCGGUGGCGAAGGCGACUUCCUGGACCAAUACUGACGCUGAGGCGCGAAGGCGUGGGGAGCAAACAGGAUUAGAUACCCUGGUAGUCCACGCAGUAAACGUUGAACACUAGGUGUAGCGGGUAUUGACCCCUGCUGUGCCGCAGCAAACGCAUUAAGUGUUCCGCCUGGGGAGUACGACCGCAAGGUUAAAACUCAAAGGAAUUGACGGGGCCCGCACAGGCGGUGGAGCAUGUGGUUUAAUUCGACGCAACGCGAAGAACCUUACCUGGAUUUGACAUCCCGGGAAUCUUUUUGAAAGAUUAGAGUGCCCUUCGGGGAGCCCGGUGACAGGUGCUGCAUGGCUGUCGUCAGCUCGUGUCGUGAGAUGUUGGGUUAAGUCCCGCAACGAGCGCAACCCCUUUCUUUAGUUACCAUCAUUUAGUUGGGGACUCUAAAGAUACUGCCCCGGUUAACGGGGAGGAAGGUGGGGAUGACGUCAAGUCCUCAUGGCCUUUAUGUCCA
rnacentral:rRNA from 1 species